rnacentral:rRNA from 1 species
GACGAACGCUGGCGGCGUGCUUAACACAUGCAAGUCGAGCGGAAAGGCCCAGCUUGCUGGGUGCUCGAGUGGCGAACGGGGGAGUAAAACGUGGGAGUCCUCCCGCUAAGUUUGGGGGAAGCCUGGGAAACUGGGUCUAUAACCGGUGAGGACAGCCGCUGAGGGUUGGUGGGGGUAGGAUUUUUCGGUUGGGGAUGAGCCCGCGGCCGAUUAGCUUGUUGGUGGGGUAAGGGCCUACCAAGGCGUCGAUGGGUAGCCGGCCUGAGAGGGUGGACGGCCACAUUGGGACUGAGAUACGGCCCAGACUCCUACGGGAGGCAGCAGUGGAGAAUAUGGCACAAUGGGCGCAAGCCUGAUGCAGCGACGCCGCGUGGGGGAUGACGGCCUUCGGGUGGUAAACCGCUUUCGACUGGGACGAAGCUUUAGUGACGGUACCUGUAGAAGAAGCACCGGCUAACUACGUG